AUACUCUGCGUUUCAUUAAGUAACCAGCGACAUUUAUUGGGCUUAGUUGAGUUUGGUCUUUACGCUUUACUCAAGUGACCGAGCCCAAUAUUGAGUAACCUUUAUCUCCUCUACCGUGUCUGAUCGAAAUUUAGGGUUCUUCUAUUGGUGGAUUCGAUUACGCCGGUCGAGAUUCUUCUUCAUUAGUCGAAAAAAUGCUUCUGUUUCAUCCCAUUUAACCUCUUCUUAACUCGAACAACCACUAUAUAGCCAUCAAUGUGAAGUUCUGUCUUGCGAGUCUGGUUUUCCUCCUCUGAAAACCAUCACCUCAAUCCCUCAAAACCAACCAUUAAAUUUAUUUUCUGAGAACUGGCUAGCGCAUCAAUUUUCCUUUCUGAUUUGAAGACCGGACGAUGCUCCUCCACCGUUGAAUUGCGGUUGAUCCGUUUCUGGGAGGCCAGGAACGUCUUGAGGCGGUGGCGAACUCAGGGGAGUGGAUAAGCUCAUACUGGAUUCACAGGUUGUUAUGUAUCAUAGCUUGCGUUCAUAAUUUUAAUUUUUUUUCCGGCGUGUUAAAUCCGCCUUAUCAAGUUUUUCUAUUUAGAUAUUUGUUUGACGUUUUAUAAAUGAGGAAUAUUUAGUCCGUGCGUUGAUUGUUCUGUCAUAUUUUUUUUAAUGUUUCUGUCAUGUUGAAUCCUUAUUACCAAGUUUACUGUUUAGAUUUUUGUUUGACAUAUUUUGAAUAAGGCAAUUUAAAACCGUUUGUUGAUUGUUCUGUAUAUUCAUGUGGGUUUGAGGCAACCAUUGCUGCGACUUGCUUGCUUGGAAAGCCUGCAAUGAUAAUCAUGACAUACCAGAAGAUGUAGAUAUACCAUUGUAUAUCGAACCUUCAACUUGAUCACUUUUUGACGGUUGUAACAACUAUAAACGCAAGACGGGUCAAAGCAGAGAUUAUAUGCACACUCAUCAUGAAGUACGCAGAGAAUUGGUUGCCACUAAUCGAAGAUGAUUUGGAAAUAAUACGAGGUUACAGGUCAGGAAACAUUGAGUUGCAGUUCAGUGUUGAACGAGAGAGAACGGAGGAAAGAAGUUUAGGAUGUUAAGAACAAAAGUGAAUCAUAGAAAGCUUAGUAAGUGUGCUUCAUACACAACCUGGAACAGUACCAUGCCAGUUUCUGUUGAGCUAUGCUCGCAUAUUUCGAUGGUGACUAACGGCGAAGCGCAGCAGAGGAUCUUAUAUACCAAAUAAGUCAAUAAGAAGAUGGCACAAAGAGAAAAAAGAAAGUAAUGAUCAAGAAAACAAUUACCAAAAAGUCUCUAAAAGCUUCUGGACAUCUGAUUUAUCUGGGAAUGCUUCUAAGGAUCUGCUGCUAAUGCAUAAAUCGGUGCAAAUACUGUCAGAUUUGUGAUAAGUCUUAUGAAGCUAAACAGAGGCGUGAAGACAUGAAGACAUCCUGUUAAUUUCAAUGAUACACGUACAUUAUAAACCGAUGUCGAAAUAUAUUGAAAUUUUUUGUAAUGCUCAGGUUUAAUUAUUAAAAUAUGAUAUUUUUACUAAUUAGAGUUACAUUUCUC